CACUUAGAGGAAGGAGAAGUCGUAACAAGGUUUCCGUAGGUGAACCUGCGGAAGGAUCAUUCGCACUGAUCUACCUAUUCCAUUGUGAACCAUUACCUGUGAGGGACUGCUUGCGGGCAUUGCUGCACACUCUGUGUGUGCAGCAAGAUACGCAGGCAGGAACUCGAGGGCUGCAGGUGCAUAUCUUGCUGGCACCCUUGUGCUGGUCGUUCGGCGGGUAUCGCCCUGUUGCCGUGUUCUUUCGAACUAUUUUUUUGACCCUUGUGAAAGCUUCUACAAGUGAUGGUGAGGACACCAGUCUGUUCUUGACCACAACUUUCAGCGACGGAUAUCUCGGCUCGGGCACCUAUGAAGGGCGCAGCGAAGCGCGAUAGUCUUUGUGAAUUGCAGAACUCCGUGAACCAAUGGCCUCCUGAACGUGCAUUGCACUCUUGGGAUUUCCUGAGAGUAUGUUUGCUUCAGUGCUUAGUUUGGUCAACUUUGUUUGGACCCUGCUUCUGGGAACCAAGCACCUCUGUGAAUCAUUGGAACAAACAGGACUUCGUCUCUGUUUUGCCAAUGGUUUGCUUGUCUCUUCAAUCCUUUGUGUAGCACAAGCAUAUGUGCGUUGUUGUUUGAUACAUUUAUAUCUCUUUGUAGUAUAGAUGCUAUCUGCACGAAGCACAUCUGAUAUGCUUGCUACUGCUAUUGUGCUGCUGAGAAUUCUUAUAUGCAUAUGUACCAUGUGUAUAUGAUGUCUAUAUGAUUUCUCUCCCUUGCACAACCCA
rnacentral:rRNA from 1 species